rnacentral:rRNA from 1 species
UGGGGAAUAUUGCACAAUGGGCGAAAGCCUGAUGCAGCGACGCCGCGUGAGGGAUGAAGGCCUUCGGGUUGUAAACCUCUUUCAGUAGGGAAGAAGCGUAAGUGACGGUACCUACAGAAGAAGCACCGGCUAACUACGUGCCAGCAGCCGCGGUAAUACGUAGGGUGCGAGCGUUGUCCGGAAUUAUUGGGCGUAAAGAGCUUGUAGGCGGUUUGUCGCGUCUGCCGUGAAAAUCCGGGGCUCAACUCCGGACUUGCGGUGGGUACGGGCAGACUAGAGUGUGGUAGGGGAGACUGGAAUUCCUGGUGUAGCGGUGAAAUGCGCAGAUAUCAGGAGGAACACCGAUGGCGAAGGCAGGUCUCUGGGCCACUACUGACGCUGAGAAGCGAAAGCGUGGGGAGCGAACA